rnacentral:tRNA from 1 species
AAGGGUGUAGCUCAGUGGUAGAGCAUGUCCCUAGCACACAUGAAGUCCUGGGUUCAAUCCCCAGUACCUCUA